AGGACAACUGAUGUAUAUUUUUAACUUUGAGAGUUUUUCUUUCUGCUGCAUCAGCUGCUGAGCUCAGCCUGGAUCAGACAAACCAACAGUCAGUGAAGACUGUCGCAUGGGAGCAGGCAUAGCGGUGAUGUUCAACAAGAGUCUCAGAGUUAAAGGAGCAGAGCGAGUCAGACUAGUUACUAAAGUUACUAAAACUCACUACUUUAGUGAGUCACCAAAGUGUUUGAGAAGCUGCCAGGACAGUGUGCCGUCCUGACACUUGAUCAACGUUUCAUCUACUACCUGGUAAAUAUGCCACGGCCAGUUAUACUGCAUAGGACCAAAGCUGGUUCAUUAUUCAAUCUGGUAAGUGCAUCUUUCCUAUUAUGCAUCUCAGAUAACAAAGAAAACAGCCGGGCAGAAACCCACGUAUGUCAGCCUGAGAGAGUCUGGAAGACAUGAAAUCUCACUGCUUACAAAAUGGUGCCAAUAGGUUAUCAAUACCCCGAAUCGGCUGUGGCCUGGACCAGCUGCAGUGGUCAGAGGUGUCACAGAUCCUGGAUCAGGUCUUUAAAGAGACAAAUAUCUCCACCACAGUGU